rnacentral:rRNA from 1 species
UACGUAGGGGGCAAGCGUUGUCCGGAUUCAUUGGGCGUAAAGAGCUCGUAGGCGGUCUGUCGCGUCGGAUGUGAAAACCCAGGGCUCAACCCUGGGCCUGCAUUCGAUACGGGCAGACUAGAGUUCGGUAGGGGAGACUGGAAUUCCUGGUGUAGCGGUGAAAUGCGCAGAUAUCAGGAGGAACACCGGUGGCGAAGGCGGGUCUCUGGGCCGAAACUGACGCUGAGGAGCGAAAGCGUGGGGAGCAAACAGG